GAUGAACGCUGGCGGCGUGCUUAACACAUGCAAGUCGAACGGUGAAGCCCAGCUUGCUGGGUGGAUCAGUGGCGAACGGGUGAGUAACACGUGAGCAACCUGCCCUGGACUCUGGGAUAAGCGCUGGAAACGGCGUCUAAUACUGGAUAUGAGACGUGGCCGCAUGGUCAACGUUUGGAAAGAUUUUUCGGUCUGGGAUGGGCUCGCGGCCUAUCAGCUUGUUGGUGAGGUAAUGGCUCACCAAGGCGUCGACGGGUAGCCGGCCUGAGAGGGUGACCGGCCACACUGGGACUGAGACACGGCCCAGACUCCUACGGGAGGCAGCAGUGGGGAAUAUUGCACAAUGGGCGGAAGCCUGAUGCAGCAACGCCGCGUGAGGGAUGACGGCCUUCGGGUUGUAAACCUCUUUUAGCAGGGAAGAAGCGAAAGUGACGGUACCUGCAGAAAGAGCACCGGCUAACUACGUGCCAGCAGCCGCGGUAACAC
rnacentral:rRNA from 1 species